rnacentral:lncRNA from 1 species
CUCUCUCUCUCUUUAUUUUUAUCUCUCUCUUCAAACAUUUUUUUAUUUUUUCUCUCUCUCUUCAAAUUUUUUAUUUUUUUCCUCUCUCUUCAAUUUUUUUAUUCCUCUCUUCAUUUUUUUUUCUUUCUCUUCAAUUUUUUCUCUUUUCAUAUAAGAAGAAGAAAAUUUAUAAUUUUUUUAAGUCCAAUUUAAUUUUUUAUUUAUUACUAUAAAAAUUUAAAAUAUAUAAAUAAUUUUUAAAUAGUUCAGACUAUUUGUUUAAAUAUAAAUUUUAAUUUUAUAAUUUUGAAUAUUUAGAUAUAGAUUGUAUAUUAAAAAAUCAAAAAAAGAUUGACAGAGUUUUAGUUUAUUUUAUAUUUUACAAAAUUUAGUUGCGAGAAUCGCUUAAAACAUACUAAUUAAAUCUAUAGAGUUAAGCGAUACAUUCAGAUUUUUAAAGUUAAAGUAUCAUUAACUAACUCAAAUCUAAAAUAUAAAAAGUUGGAUAAUAAAAAUAAAAUUUUAAAAGAUUGAAUUUACACUUUUUGUCCUUAAAACUAUAAAAUGGAUGACACUUUAAUCCUCUAACUUUAAUGCGUUAUGAUUUAAACUAUAAGACAUGUGACACUUUGAUCCUCAAACUUUAAUUAGUUGCAAUUUCUGACCUGAAAUAUAAGCUACAUUCUUUUAAUUCUCAACAUUUAUUGCUGUUAUAAAUAUAAUUACUUAUUUGUAUAAUUUUUAUCUUUAUUUCUUUUAAUUCUUCUUAUAAUUUAUUUUUAUAUUUCUAUUAUAACAAUAAUUGCUUAUUUUUUAAUUAUUUUUUUAUAUAAUUCCUUG